ensembl:lncRNA
CUAAAGGCUAUUAGAACUGAUCAUCUAGUGCGUUCUGAACAGAGAGUAAAAGGAGCAGAUUUCUGGUCAUGGAAGAAUAGAUUCAAGGCAAUGUACAGACAAAGGUAUGGUCGGAUGAUGAGUGACAAUGAGAGAGGUUUUGUCUCUAGAGGCACCAGUUAAGCCAGGUGAGGUCACCGCAUGUGUGGGGGUAUGAACAAAAGGGCUAUCUAAGGCAUGUUGGGCAGGGCUGGGGGCUCUACAGUGAAAUAAGAGAAUAAUCACUAACCAAAACAGCAAUAGACAAAGCAUAUUGACAUUAGGGAGAGGCAUGUGUAGCCAAGUGAUAAUAGGGUCCAAAGAGUAGCAAUAGAUGAGCCAGGGUGCCGAUUCAGUAGUCGCUACUAUGCUAGGCGAGCUGGAGACACGGCGAUUCAGACAGCUAGCGGGCCGGGGAUAGCAGAUGGGCCUCUGGCGAUGUCGCAACGGAAGAGCCUGUUGAAACCACCUUCGAAGAUUACAUCGGCUCAGAUCUUGAGGUAGGAAUCCGGAGAUGUGGUAGAGAAAAAGCUGUCCGAUGUGCUCUGGGUUGAUAUCGCGCUGUGCAGACUACCAGUGGCUAAAUGACUACUAGCUACUCUGUUAAAAGUUGCAGACAGCUGGUCUUCUAACUCUGUUUUCAACAUGUGUAUAUUCUCUCACUGCCUCCCUAAAUCCAUCUAAGUUUCAACUGUUGAUUGGAACUUGUGGAGACAUUGCAAACGUCCAUGAUGACCUUUUCAAAAAUCAAAACAUCUGGGGUUUUAAUGUCUUCUGGAUUGAGUCAAAUCUCUCGUAAUAACAACAGUAGGAAUAAACUGGAUUGUGUUCAUGUCCUAGAUCUAACAUUUUUAUUUAGUAGAACAGACAUAUACAACUGUUGAAAGGUUUGCUAUGGUAAAAUAUGCAGUAACAUUGAGCAUUUGACAGAGAAUAUUGAGAAAUUGUGAAAAGAUUGACUACUGAAGCAAAUACAUUGUGUGUCUUGACAUUUUUGUUUCCUUUGUUUUAACUGUGAUUUAAGGCUUUGAAUAACAUUAAAAUACUGAGUCGAUUCCAGGAACAUAACAUCACCUACAAGUUUGGUGACCCCAAUGUGAUUUGUCUUACAGAACAUUCAGAAAUGAGUGAAUGGCUUAGUCCAGUCCAUCGCGCGGUAGAGUUUUAUUUAUAAUUGCAUUGCUGGAAAACUGAAAAAAAAAAGUCAAUGAAAGUUUAGUCCCGCUUUAUUUGAAAUGCAUCUUAUGAAGGCUUCAUAAAGCCACACAUAGAUGCUUCACAUAUCAUCUAUAACCUUAUAUCUUGCUCUAUAAAUGCAUGCAUUUAUUUGUUCACAUUUAGAAAUCACAUUUGGAAAUAUUUUAUCGAGCAUGAAAUGAGUUAUAGAUUAUUUGUGACCUAUUUAUGCAGUGCUUAUGAAGCCUAUAUGACCGUUUUUAAAAAGCUUUCUCAAGAUGCACUUCAAAUAAAGCAGGACUGAGUGUUUUACUGUCGAUACCACAUGUUUUUUUCAUGCUUAUUUCACUUAUGACCCAAAAUAAAGCAAGUUUCAGCGGUGGGUUUCUCUCCAUGGCCUGUCCUGUGUCUCAGUACCGUCUUCUUCUAUGCUGAGGAUCUGUAAGGCUGAAUGCACAGAUACAUUUUUUUUGUACGUAAUGGCAGCAAAGGAUUAAUACAAUCACAUACAUAUACUAUCAUGUAAACCUCUAGCGUUCCCUUAUAUGGACGAUUGUCGGGUACACGUCACUUACAGGAACAGCUAGUUCGGAAAAUGCAGCCAAGACUCCAGGACGAUAGGGUCUUUUGCGUCUGCCCUUAGUAGUCACAUGCCUCUUAGUCCUGGAACUCUGAGGUGAAAGGAUUAAGAGUGGAAAGGAUUAAGAGUGGGUUUCCUUGAGAACUGCAUAUAAUAUUAAAUGAAUUCAAGAGAUUUAAUAUCAACCUUGCAGUAUGACAGUACAAUAGCAUUGUUAUGAUAUGGGCUGUCCACUCUAUCAGCCAGUUUAUACGCUCUUAGAAAAAAAGUGCUAUCUAGAACCUUAAAGGGUUCUUCGGCUGUCUCCAUUGGAGAACGUUUUGAACGUUAUGCAGGUGGAACCCUUUUGGAACCCUUUUUUUCUAAGAGUGUAGUUUUGAUACUUUUAAGGUUACUUAUUCCCUCGACGGAGAUGUAGCACCUUACUUAAAAUCGGGUGUAAGUCUACAUAUCCUUCACAUGUUUCAACACUACAGCGUCUCUCUCUCUGUUUCUCUCUCUCUCUAACCUCGGGUGGCGGUGGAGGUCCAUUCUUCAGGACUGACAACAUUGAACAACUCCCUGGACGCUGGCCGCUGCAUGCCCCUACCCUGUUUCGGACACCCUCCUCAUGUCUCUUUGAUGUGAGCUGCACAACCAGUGGCUUCAUGUCUACCUGAUGUGGAGGUCCUGGGAGGAAUGGGGAAGAGCCUCCCUGUUGAGAGUGGUGCAGAAUGAUCGUGAUAGUGCCAGAGUGACUUCUAUACCAAUGUGCACAUUCCAACUGUGUCAGUCUAGAGCAGGGCUCCCCAACUCUGUUCCUGGAGAGUUACGGUCCUGUAGGUCCCCCAUGAAAACCGCCC